rnacentral:rRNA from 1 species
UGCAAGUCGAACGAGGAAGUACCUUCGGGUAUUGUACUAGUGGCGUACSGGUGAGUAACGCGUGGAUAAUCUUCCUUAGAGUGGGGAAUAACUAGUCGAAAGAUUAGCUAAUACCGCAUAAGACCACAGGGGCUUCGGCUCAAGGGGUUAAAGGAGCAAUUCGCUCUAAGAUGAGUCUGCGCCCGAUUAGCUAGUUGGUGAGGUAACGGCUCACCAAGGCGACGAUCGGUAGCUGGUCUGAGAGGACGGCCAGCCACACUGGGACUGAGACACGGCCCAGACUCCUACGGGAGGCAGCAGUAGGGAAUAUUGCACAAUGGAGGAAACUCUGAUGCAGCGACGCCGCGUGAGUGAUGAAGGCCUUCGGGUUGUAAAGCUCUGUUCUCAGGGAAAAAGAAAGUGAUUGUACCUGAGGAGAAAGGACCGGCUAACUUCGUGCCAGCAGCCGCGGUAAGACGAGGGGUCCAAGCGUUGUUCGGAAUUAUUGGGCGUAAAGCGGGUGUAGGUGGAUCUAUAAGUCAGGAGUGAAAGCCCCGAGCUUAACUUGGGAAGUGCUUUUGAUACUGUAGAUCUUGAAUGUGGGAGAGGAUCGUGGAAUUCCAGGUGUAGUGGUGAAAUACGUAGAUAUCUGGAGGAACACCGGUGGCGAAGGCGGCGAUCUGGCCCAACAUUGACACUGAGACCCGAAAGUGCGGGGAUCAAACAGGAUUAGAUACCCUGGUAGUCCGCACCAUAAACGAUGGACACUUGGUGUUGGAGGUAUUGACCCCUUCAGUGCCGAAGCUAACGCGUUAAGUGUCCCGCCUGGGGAGUACGGCCGCAAGGUUAAAACUCAAAGAAAUUGACGGGGGCCCGCACAAGCGGUGGAGCAUGUGGUUUAAUUCGAUGCAACGCGCAGAACCUUACCUAGAUUUGACAUAGACUGGAAGACUGGCAGAAAUGCCGUCGCCCGCAAGGGC